rnacentral:rRNA from 1 species
UACGGGGGGAGCAAGCGUUGUUCGGAUUUACUGGGCGUAAAGGGCGCGUAGGCGGCCACCGCAAGUCGACUGUGAAAUCUCCGGGCUUAACCCGGAAAGGUCAGCCGAUACUGCGGGGCUAGAGUGCAGAAGGGGCAACUGGAAUUCUCGGUGCAGCGGUGAAAUGCGUAGAUAUCGAGAGGAACACCUGCGGCGAAGGCGGGUUGCUGGGCUGACACUGACGCUGAGGCGCGAAAGCUAGGGGAGCGAACGGG